GAUCGGGAGGAGGAAGGGCAGAGAAAAUGGAAACAAGGUGGUCGGAAGGCUUACCUAUUUCGGGGGUGAACUGCAACGAUCCCUGCUCCGGCGCCUCAGUGGUUGCUGGUUCAGGAAUUCCUCUCUGAGGAAGAAGGAGGGGCACGAUAAGAGGGCUAGAAAAUAGGGCUUCUUAAGCGGUGAUAACCACUUUAGCGGUCAGCAGCUGUCUCUCCCUUCCGCCGGCAGCUGUACCUCUCCGAAGUAGGACCAUAGGAGGUGGUGGCCUCCAGAUGGGCUGCCGACCUUGGUCCAGGUCGGCCCAUCUGGCGGCCCAGUCCCAGUAGUCACAAUACACAUACACAUGACAAAUACUAGCAAGCUGUCCGUGACACUUAUUUUCAGGUCACAUUCUAACAUGAAAUGUAGGCAUUUCAAGUCUUUUAGCUUUACGUAAAUUGCUUUAAUUCUGAUUUGUGUAGGUAAAUUUUGUAUUGGAAUUUUUCCGUCAAUGCGUCCUGCCUAGAUUAGAGACAACAAGCAUCAUAAGACAAUUGUGGCCAGAAAAUGAGAGUACAAGAAAAUAUUUAAA
rnacentral:lncRNA from 1 species